ACGAAGGGGGCUAGCGUUGUUCGGAAUUACUGGGCGUAAAGCGCGCGCAGGCGGCUAUCCAAGUCAGUGGUGAAAGCCCGGAGCUCAACUCCGGAACUGCCAUUGAUACUGCAGGGCUUGAGUACAGACGAGGUUGGCGGAAUUGAUGGUGUAGCGGUGAAAUGCAUAGAUACCAUCAAGAACUCCGAUUGCGUAGGCAGCUAACUAGGCUGUAACUGACGCUGAGGCACGAAAGCGUGGGGAGCGAACAGGA
rnacentral:rRNA from 1 species